GAUGCAAAUGGAUCCGGGUUGGUGGAGCUCCGCCCCGAUCCGCCCCGAAUGGGGUGGUAAGUGGGAACAAAAAAUAUAGAAAAAUAUAACCCGCCCCGAAUCCGCCCCGAUCCGCCAAGUAAAUGGAGCGGGAGGCGGGAGACUCUUUUCUUCCUUCAAUCUACCCCGAUCCGUUAAAAAUCUGCUCCCGCCCCUCUCCCGCCCCGAUCCGCCUCGAAUGGAGCGGUAAGUAGGAGCCAAAAAUAAAAUGAAAAGUAACCUGCCCCGAAUCCGCCCCGCCCAGAUAAG
rnacentral:lncRNA from 1 species